rnacentral:rRNA from 1 species
UACGUAGGUGGCGAGCGUUGUCCGGAUUUACUGGGCGUAAAGAGCGCGCAGGCGGUCGUCCAAGUCGCGUGUGAAAGCCCCCGGCUCAACUGGGGAGGGUCACGCGAUACUGAUCGACUCGAAGGCAGGAGAGGGAAGCGGAAUUCCCGGUGUAGUGGUGAAAUGCGUAGAUAUCGGGGAGGAACACCAGUGGCGAAGGCGGCUUCCUGGCCUGUUCUUGACGCUGAGG